rnacentral:sRNA from 1 species
ACACAUUUGUAGACGACGCCAAGAGGAACCAUCCCACGAAAUUUUGCCUCUGGAAAGUGACGAUGAAAUGAAUAGACCCAGAACCCUCAUCAUAAUGCAAGAAAAGCCUAGGCUUCUCGAGCCUUUGGAUUAUGAGACUGUCAUUGAAGAACUUGAAAAGACCUACCGGAAUGAUCCUCUUCAAGAUCUCCUGUUCUUCCCCAGUGAUGACUUUUCAGCAGCCACAGUUUCCUGGGAUAUCCGCACGUUGUACUCAACAGUACCUGAAGAUGCAGAGCACAAGGCAGAAAAUUUACUGGUGAAGGAGGCUUGUAAAUUUUAUAGUUCCCAGUGGCAUGUGGUAAACUACAAAUAUGAACAAUAUUCUGGAGACAUUCGACAGCUACCCCGAAUACAAACCAGAGAAGCUUCCUUCACAUUCCUUUGAGAUUGACCAUGAAGAUGCUGAUAAGGAUGAAGAUACCACUUCCCACUCGUCUUCCAAGGGGGGUGGAGGAGCAGGAGGAACUGGUGUUUUCAAGUCCGGCUGGCUCUACAAGGGGAAUUUUAACAGCACCGUGAAC